UGGGGAAUAUUGGACAAUGGGCGCAAGCCUGAUCCAGCCAUGCCGCGUGAGUGACGAAGGUCUUCGGAUUGUAAAGCUCUUUUUACCAGGGACGAUAAUGACGGUACCUGGAGAAUAAGCCCCGGCUAACUUCGUGCCAGCAGCCGCGGUAAUACGAAGGGGGCUAGCGUUGUUCGGAAUUACUGGGCGUAAAGCGCACGUAGGCGGAUUUGUAAGUCAGGGGUGAAAUCCCGGGGCUCAACCUCGGAACUGCCUUUGAUACUGCAAGUCUCGAGUCCGAUAGAGGUGAGUGGAAUUCCUAGUGUAGAGGUGAAAUUCGUAGAUAUUAGGAAGAACACCAGUGGCGAAGGCGACUCACUGGAUCGGUACUGACGCUGAGGUGCGAAAGCGUGGGGAGCAAACAGGAUUAGAUACCCGCGUAGUCCCUGAGCGGGCUGGCAAGGCGCAU
rnacentral:rRNA from 1 species